AGUGAACGCUGGCGGCAGGCCUAAUACAUGCAAGUCGAACGGCAGCACAGCAGAGCUUGCUCUGUGGGUGGCGAGUGGCGGACGGGUGAGGAAUACAUGGGAAUCUGCCCAGUCGUGGGGGAUAACGUAUGGAAACGUACGCUAAUACCGCAUGCGCCCUUUGGGGGAAAGCCGGGGACCUUCGGGCCUGGCGCGAUUGGAUGAGCCCAUGUUCGAUUAGCUAGUUGGCGGGGUAAAGGCCCACCAAGGCGACGAUCGAUAGCUGGUCUGAGAGGAUGAUCAGCCACACUGGGACUGAGACACGGCCCAGACUCCUACGGGAGGCAGCAGUAGGGAAUAUUGGACAAUGGGCGCAAGCCUGAUCCAGCCAUGCCGCGUGAGUGAAGAAGGCCCUCGGGUUGUAAAGCUCUUUUGUUGGGGAAGAAAAGCAGUCGGUUAAUACCUGAUUGUUC
rnacentral:rRNA from 1 species